UUUCGUAAUCAAAUGCUCGUACAGAGAACUAAUUCAAUUUUAUGACGUCAAUUUUUUUGCUACUCUGGUGGUACCUUCGUUUGUUUGUCACUUGUUUACCGCCGCAGUCUACAGUGUAGAGUGUAACCUCGGGGUGCGAGUGACCCAUGACCUCGCCCACGUGAUCGACUGUAGCCUCGCCAACGGCCAAGGCCCUCGAACACCGCUCUACAGCCUCGCAAAGGGUUCCGUUUUCUCAAUUCAUGCAUUACUGGUGAAGGGUGACUGGUUCUCAUGGCAUCCAAUACCAACAUCGCAUCCAAAGAAGACGCGACGCCAAAAGCAACCGCGGAUCCCGACCCGAAACAGAGCCUGGCUCCGGCUCCGGAUCCGGCCUCGGACGUGGACCUGGACACGGAUCCCGAUCUCUCGGUGGGAGCCGCGGAGCUGCGGGAGCUAGAGCGCUCCUGUCGGUGGCAGCUGUCUUCGGCAGGUCACUAGCCAGCCGAGUGGCGGGCGCGGCUCCAUAACCGGCUCGGGCUGUUGUUGUAUGGCCAGGUGCGGUUUGACGAGGCGGCUGAAGAGUACAGCGCUGCGCUGGAGGCCUGGCCGAGACUAGCGGCGGCCGCGCACAACCGUGCUAUCGUCCGCUACAGGAUGGGCUAUUUCCAGGAGGCAGAACGAGACCUCCUGCUGGCGCAGUCCUUGGAGCCUGAAAAUACCGAGAUCGCCACUGGGCUUCAGGAGACGCGACGAUUACUGAAAGGGAUCCCUGCAGAGGGUGCCAGCUGACAGGGUUGGGUCCACUGUAGUGUACAGUCCCCAGGUCAAUUGGUUCGGUGACUUUCACAUUAUAGCAGGCCCUUCCUCGGUCAGGCUUGAUGGAUCCACCGUCACUUUGCGCGGCACUUUUAAGACAGACUGUACAGUUGAGUGUGCACGCGCCAGUUACUGAAAGGGAUCCCCGCAGAGAGAUGGUGGCAGGGUGGGCGGCUGACGAGUGACGAUCACGCUCUACUUUACGGGUGUUCACUGUGAAAUGAAAGCGUUAGUUCAUACGCGGGACGACCCUUCAGUGAUUUUCCCAUCUUGUGAGUCAUCAUAUAAGCGGGCUUUCAUAUUGUCAAUUCGAUUGUGGCUAUACCAUACUGUAUUAUCAUCGCGCUUUUUAUUUCAAGAACGGACAAAACUAGGGCUAUCGUUUUGUAAUAGGUAUUCGUCAAGUUGCGAUAGUAGGGACACGGGCGCGGCAAGUACUCUCGCCGGUCACCUGGAAGCGGUGGCAGUAGGUGGUGUCGCGUGAGGCGUUCAUCUGCACGAGCAGACGGAACGACGGGAGGUCGUCGAGCGAAUGGUCGAGGCGAAACUGUGGGGAGGUACCGCGCCCGCGUUCCCGCCUAGCUACAGAGCUGACACCGAACUACAUUACUCAAGUCCACUAAAUGACCUACUGGCUUGCUCAACUGUUCCAGGAACUCGCGCCUACUGAACUUUCGUCACCGAGAAGAUUGUUGUAUUAACUAGCUAUCGGCAGUCCAGUCCAAGACUGGAAACGCUGGCUCUCAACUGGUUCGUAACAAUGCCUACCUUACUGUAGCCUACGACUUGUCUUAUAACGACGGCUGAUGCUAUCUUGAUUUGCGACUGAUUGAUAGCAUGCUAUAAAAUAUGUCCGACCCGCAUCACCUGCCACCGGUAAUUUGUUCCGGUAUUUUUAUCUGAUUUCUGUGAUUUAGGUAGGUCGCGAUACGAUUAAAUGAACAUGCGAGUUGCAAAAUGCCUGAAUUUCACUGUACUGUGGCCUGUGCCGAUGUGCUGUGAGGUGUUAGCACGUUGGAUGGUUGAAAUGUGAAGAUUUGAUACACAUGCUGGAUGGUUUACCUACAUGUGCUGCUGUCUUGUACUGCUGCCGACUACCGUAUAACCAAGCUCAGCAUACACAUUUUACAUUACGUCAUGUGUGUGUAUUGCGUGCUCCAAAACGGUACUGGGAUGAAGACUGAAGUCUAACACUGCAGACCCUGGCGAGGACGCAGUUUUUUAUAGAAAAGGUCGAACGUGUUCGCCAGUUGGGACGAAUUGAUAUCAAGAUUCAAGACAAAGACAGGAUGAGGACGCGACCAUUGUCUCCCUGACACGGCUUUGUGAGGGAGCUGAUUGAGUGAGACGGGCGAGCGAGCACGGUUUGUUACAGAGGACCAUGGCGUUUUGUGAUCGGUGUAGGUACUGCGAAGUGCGCCAAGAGAAUCGCUGAGCUGAGUAGAGAUGUCGACUAUAUACUUUAUGGAGCACGGUCUUGCCAUCUACAGAUUCGGCACACGGUACUGUACUUUGAGCCGUAUAU